rnacentral:rRNA from 1 species
AACGAACGCUGGCGGCAUGCCUAACACAUGCAAGUCGAACGAGACCUUCGGGUCUAGUGGCGCACGGGUGCGUAACGCGUGGGAACCUGCCCUUAGGUUCGGAAUAACUCCCCGAAAGGGGUGCUAAUACCGGAUAAUGUCUUCGGACCAAAGAUUUAUGGCCUUUGGAUGGGCCCGCGUUGGAUUAGCUAGUUGGUAGGGUAAAAGCCUACCAAGGCGACGAUCCAUAGCUGGUCUGAGAGGAUGAUCAGCCACACUGGGACUGAGACACGGCCCAGACUCCUACGGAAGGCAGCAGUGGGGAAUAUUGGACAAUGGGCGAAAGCCUGAUCAAGCAAUGCCGCGUGAGUGAUGAAGGCCUUAGGGUUGUAAAGCUCUUUUAACCGGGAUGAUAAUGACAGUACCGGGAGAAUAAGCUCCGGCUAACUCCGUG